GGCGCGGCGGUCGCUGCAAAAC
rnacentral:snRNA from 1 species